CACAAAUUGGGGCAUUUAUACUGGGAAAAAAACAAAUGAACUCUUAAGUUAUCAGCAUUAGUAUCAUUUAAAGAACAAGGCUGAAAAAAGAGACGAAUGGAUAAAUUGAAAAACAGAGAGCACAGGCUCCAACUGAGCUCUAAAUUAGGAGAUGAAGAACUAUUCAGCUUAAACAGGAGGUGUUCCAGUUCUUCUCAAUGGUCCCAACACAGGUAGCUCUGCACCCUCCCCCUGCCCCAAGGUAAUAGGUCUAUUUAUUGAGCUAAUUGUGCCUCUGGAUGAAACAUACAUGUGAGAAAUGGGAGGAAAACAGUAUAAAGACAAAAAUCUACAUGUAGUCUAGAACAAAGAGACAGAGAACACAUGGUAGGUGACAAUUUGAGAAACUUCAGCUAAUAAAAGAUUUAACUUACU
rnacentral:lncRNA from 1 species